GAAGUCGUAGUCGAAGGUCGAAGUAGCCAAUUCGAUGGUCAAAGUAGCCAAAAAAAUACUUCGAAAUUCUAACUAUUUUUUAUUCUAUUCCUUCACUCAAGUAAUGUGCCCCUAGAUGUGCUUUUUGUUCAAACGUAACAUUACACUCACAAAAAAUCAUUUGGGCAAUUGUCUCAAUUUAUAUAUAAAAUUAUAGCAUAUAUAUAGCAUUUUUAUGAAAUCUUAUGUUUGUUUGAAAAAAAAAAAAACAAUAAUUGAUAUGUGCUCUGAUACAAAUAGACUGUAGUAUGAGUGUGAGAGUGGAUACACUGCUAAAAGAACUUAUAAUGUAGAGUUGGUUAAAUCCAUCUUUCAUUAGUGUCUUGAGACCAGUUUGCUGCUUUCAGUAGAUCCAACAGUAUUAAUAUGGGUCCUGCUUAAUGCCAAUGAAGUGCUUGAAAAUUUACCACUCGUGGCUAGAGGACUACUAGUAUAGUCUAAUGUACUUGCAAGACCUUUACUAAAAGAUGUCAACAUUGUCACUAUAAAUUCCCACUAACCUACAUCUGAAUGCUCCCAUGUUCCUAACUGGCAUACUAUUACCUCAGGGACUCUACCCCAAAAUCUCACUUAUUGUCGGGCAAUAGAUUAUCUUUGCUAACUAGUUUCUCUAUCUCGCACUCCUAGACUGAGCUUACACCCAAUUCUAGCCACUUACUAGUCAUGAAGGAAGGAAGGUCUCCCACCUGGUCAUGGGAGUUCUUCAAUCCUGCCUCUGGAUGUUCUUAGGCCAAAGAGUAGUGCACAGAUCCUGCACUCCCUCAUACAGGCUCCUGCAGGGGAAUUCCCCUAAAGACCAACCUUAGGGUUAUUAGUUUGGGGGCAACUUGCAUUUUCUGAAGGACAUUGAAUUGUAUACAUUGAAGGAAAGAGAGAAGAAAUAAUGUAAAGUCAUUCUGGUUGUUUGGCAACCUACUUUUGUUUCUUUUAGAUAGUAGUAACCUUGUCAUAAUCUACACAAAUAACUUCAUCACAUUCUAUCCAUCUUCUGCAUGGAGUUGAUUAACAAAAUUACUCUUAAUUCUUCUGUUUCAUUAAUUUGAAUUCCCACUCACUGGCACCAUGCAGAUUAAGGGCUGAUAUUUUUUAUUGUGACCCUCUUCACUGUAAGUAGCGGCAGUCCUAAUUGUGUAGUUGAUAGAACUUUAUUCAGUAUUAAAUAAAUGCAGUUUAUGCUACAAUUGUACCCAA